CAGGGGUAAAAUAGUGAGUAGCCGACUUGGGGAAGUGAUCAACCUUUGGGAUAAGUUUAAAUCUGCUUUUUUUUACCCCAAAAACUUUUUAUCAUAGGUAAAAAGAUUCUUCUUGGGGUAUAAAAAAAACCAUAUUUAAAUUUAGCCCAUGGGUUGAUGAUGUAUUUUCCCCAAGAAGACUACUCACCAUUUUACCCCAA
rfam:Medicago truncatula strain A17 chromosome 7, whole genome shotgun sequence.